ACUUGGGUGACAUCUGCCUGAGAGAUCUCCAAGAAUUACAGAAGACAAAAAUACUAAUGCAUUUGAAAAAGCGGUAGUUUUGUGGGGAGGGGGAAAAAGCAACUGCUUUCCUGAUCUGUAACUUGGCUGGAUGCUAAGAUGUCGGUGGACAUGAAUAGCCAAGGGUCUGACAGCAAUGAAGAGGACUGUGACCCAAAUUGUUAGGAAGAGGAAGAAGAAGAGGAUGAAGACCCUGGGGACAUAGAGGACUAUUACGUGGGAGUAGCCAGUGAUGUGGAGCAGCAGGGGGCUGAUGCCUUUGAUCCCAAGGAGUACCAGUUCACCUGCUUGACCUACAAGGAAUCUGAGAGUGCCCUCAAUGAGCACAUGACCAUCUUAGCUUCUGUCCUAAAGGUAUCUCAUUCAGUUGCUAAACUUAUAUUAGUUAAUUUCUACUGGCAAGUUUCAGAGAUAUUGGACAGAUUCAAGUCCAAUUCUGCUCAACUGCUUGUUGAGGCUCGAGUUCAGUCUAAUCCAUCAAAACAUGUUUCCACAUCCCAUCCCCCUCACCACUGUGCAGUGUGUAUGCAGUUUGUGCGAAAGGAAAACCUACUCUCUCUGGCCUGUCAGCACCAGUUUUGCUGCAGCUGCUGGGAGCAGCACUGCUCAGUUCUCAUCAAGGACAGCGUGGGCGUGGGAGUCUCUCAUAUGGCUUAGGACUGUCCACUCCAUACACCAGCGGACUUUGUUUCCAUUGCUUCCCAACGAAGAAUUGAGAAAGAAAUACAGGCGCUACCUCUUCAGGGACUAUGUGGAGAGUCAUUACCAGCUCCAGCUGUGCCCUGGUGCAGACUGCCCCAUGGUUAUUUGGGUACAGGAGCCUAGAGCUUGCCGAGUACAGUGCAAUCGGUGCAACGAGGUCUUCUGUUUCAAGUGUCAUCAGAUGUAUCAUGCACCCACAGACACGCCACAAUCCGGAAAUGGCUCACAAAGUGUGCAGACAACUCUGAAACAGCCAACUACAUUAGUGCCCACACUAAAGACUGUCCCAAGUGCAACAUCUGCAUUGAGAAGAAUGGAGGCUGCAAUCACAUGCACUGCUCCAAAUGUAAACAUGACUUCUGCUGGAUGUGUCUAGGAGAUUGGAAGACUCAUGGCAGUGAAUACUAUGAGUGCAGUCGUUACAAGGAGAAUUCUGACAUUGUGAACCAGAGCCAACGAGCCUAGGCGAGGGAAGCCCUCAAGAAGUACUUAUUCUACUUGGAGAGGUGGGAAAAACCACAACAAAAGCUUGCAGCUUGAGGCACAGACAUACCAGUGGAUUCACGAGAAGAUUCAGGAGAGGGUCAUGAACAAUCUGGGGACAUGGAUCGACUGGCAGUACCUACAGAAUGCUGCCAAGCUCUUGGCCAAGUGUCGAUACACCGUGCAAUACACCUACCCAUAUGAAUAUUACAUGGAGUCCGGACCCAGGAAGAAGCUGUUUGAAUACCAGCAGGCUCAGCUGGAGGCUGAGAUCGGAAACCUCUCACGGAAACUGGAGCGUGCAGACAGCUAUGACAGAGGGGACUUGGAGAACCAGAUGCAUAUAGCAGAGCAGCGGAGGAGAACCCUGCUGAAAGAUUUCCAUGACACCUAA